CUAGAGAGUUUGUGUCAGUCACUUCGAGUCAGCGUCACGUAUCAGACUUGGUAAUCGCUGCCUCUUUCCUUUGCGGUUUCCCAAUUUUUGGAUAAGUUUAGGAUGGCGAGCAAGACACCGAGUGUGGAGUUCAAUAAUGGCAAUCGAUCGCCUAUUCUGGGACUGGGCACCUGGAAGUCCCAGACGGGCGGAGAGGUGAAACAGGCGGUGAAAGAUGCUAUCGACAUCGGGUAUAGACAUAUCGAUUGCUCCCCAGUGUACGGGAAUGAAAAGGAAGUCGGUGAAGCUAUUAAUGAAAAAAUCAAGGAAGGAGUUAUAAAACGAGAGGAUAUCUUUGUUACCAGCAAGUUGUGGAAUACCGCACACAGGCCUGACCUUGUUGAGCCUGCUUUAAAGAAGACUCUGAGCGAUCUGGGACUCGAAUAUCUUGAUCUUUAUCUAAUUCAUUGGCCGUUCGCUUUCAAAGAGGGGGAAGAAAUUUUCCCCAGCGAUGCCGAUGGCAAGACGCAAUCUAGCGACGUUGACUACGUCGAUACUUGGAAGGCCAUGGAGAAUGUAUUUGAAAAAGGCCUUGCGAAAAAUAUUGGUAUCAGCAACUUCAACUCCCAGCAAAUCGAUAGAUUGUUAUCAAACUGCAAGGUGAAGCCAUCUACCAAUCAGGUGGAAUGUCAUCCUUAUCUUCCUCAAGUAAAACUUUCCGAGUUCUGUAAGUCGAAGGGUAUCGUGAUAACCGCCUACAGCCCUCUUGGCUCUCCGGACAGACCUUGGGCCAAACCCAAUGAUCCGUUACUGUUAGAGGAUCCUAAAAUCAAGUCGCUGGCCACGAAGUACAAAAAAACGCCGGCUCAAGUCGUCCUUCGGUAUCAGGUUCAGCGUGGACACAUCGUUAUACCAAAAUCGGUUUCAAAGAAACGCCUGAAGGAGAACUUUGAAAUCUUUGAUUUCACUCUGGCGCCUGAAGACAUCCAACUUAUUCAUACCUUUGAUUGCAAUGGACGGAUUUGCCCCAUGUCGAGCUCCGUUCACAAUAAGCAUUAUCCGUUCCACAUCGAGUUCUAAUUUAACCACGGAUAUUUCUUCAAUUUUCUCUGCUUAAACGAAUGAGCUAAAAUGUUCCGAUGACAAUGAAAAUAACUCGUUUGCCACG
rnacentral:misc_RNA from 1 species